AGUUGGUCCGAGUGCAGUGGUGUUUACAACUAAUGGAUCACAACUAGUUACAGAUUCCUUUGUUCCUUCUCCACUCCCAUUGCUUCACUUGACCAUCCUUUA
rnacentral:Y_RNA from 1 species